AUGCAAGACUACUUCACGGAGAAUCCUACAUAUCCAUCGCACCUCUUCCGGAGAAGGUACCAAAUGCGCCGAUCCCUCUUUGUCAAAAUUGUUCAACCUUGCGAGGCAAAUUGCUGGUAUUUUACUCAAAGAAGAAAUGUUGCGGACUUAAAGGGAUUCAUGACAAGUUUUGUAUUGCAUUAUUUAAGUUUGCUAUGGUGA
rnacentral:rRNA from 1 species